ACAGUAAAACUAGAAGGAAAAAAAAAACAAUUUAAAACCCUAAAGCAAGAAAACACGGUGUUUCAAAUAAUAAUAAUAGAACAAGUUGGAUUGGAAUUCAACUCAUCUGCCGGGAAGACGCUGCCGAAAUUGUUCGUCGGCCGCCGUAAGCAGUGAUAUCAAGUGAUUCUCGAUAUUCCGCCGUGGAGCAACAAUGGGUAUAAUCAGGGGUUGCUUCUCUUUUAUAGCAGGAACAGUCUGUGGAGUUUAUGUUGCUCAGAAUUAUAAAGUUCCUAAUAUUGCCAAGCUCGCCGACACUGUCUUGUUUAUGGCUAAAGUCACUGAGGAAACAUACCGCAAACCCAAGAAGAAGGAUGAUGAAGAUGCUUAGUUCGUCAAUGAUACUAUACUUGAAUCAGGUAUAUUGCAAAUUCAAAUCAUUAGCUUUGGCCCUUCACGAUGUGGACACCAUGCUAAGAUGUAACUUGCGAUAUUGAAUUUGUUGCUUUCUUCACCCAUUCGAUUCCAAACAACUAAAGUAGAAAAUACAGCUUCUAAACCUUGGAUGCAGAAUGAACUCCGUUAAUAUCGGGUGUGAUAUUGUAACCCUUCAAUAUUAGAGCAUCUCCUAUCCAAUGGUCAUUGUUUAAUAAAUCUAUUUUGGGUUUCAUACAUUUCUAUUAAGUGGUCUCUACCACGUCAUACUUAUAUAAUAACUCAUACGUCCAAUGAUGAAAAUUAGGCAACUCUUUAGCAACAAUUUUUUAUUCUA